CUAGCGACAGGCCUAACACAUGCAAGUCAGGGGCAGCACAAGGAGCAAUCUGAGGUGGCGACCGGCGCACGGGUGAGUAACACGUAUGCAACCUGCCUGUAAGCGGGGAAUAACCCGUUGAAAGACGGACUAAUACCGCAUAAUACUAAAUUACUGCAUGGUAAUUUAUUUAAACAUUUAUGGCUUACAGAUGGGCAUGCGCAUGAUUAGCUAGUUGGAGAGGUAACGGCUCCCCAAGGCAACGAUCAUUAGGGGUUCUGAGAGGAAGGUCCCCACACUGGUACUGAGACACGGACCAGACUCCUACGGGAGGCAGCAGUGAGGAAUAUUGGUCAAUGGACGAGAGUCUGAACCAGCCAAGUCGCGUGCAGGAAGAAUGUCCUAAUGGAUUGUAAACUGCUUUUGCAGGGGAAUAAAGUGCAUCACGUGUGAUGUUUUGUAUGUACUCUGCGAAUAAGGAUCGGCUAACUCCGUGCCAGCAGCGGC
rnacentral:rRNA from 1 species